rnacentral:tRNA from 1 species
GGAGAGAUGGCAGAGUGGUCGAUUGCACCUGACUUGAAAUCAGGCAGCCUCGCAAGGGGCUCAGGGGUUCGAAUCCCUUUCUCUCCGCCA